UCUAUCGUUGAAAACACGUUGAAAACGAGCUUCCAAUUCCACCACUCACAGCGCUACAGUAGUCCUUACACAAAAACGGAUCUAUCAACGACGAUCGACUGAUCAACGCCAUUUCUUGUUUGAAUUCUCAUCACGUUGAUGAAAGCUGUGAACUCUUUUAGAAGAGUCUACCUAUUCCACUUUGACUUGAUUCUAUCAAAAAAUCUUGUGGGUCGACUGUGGGCAUUGAGACCCAAAUUGAAGACGCUAUUAAGGAUUGGCUAAAAUAUGCGACGGUCAGAGUAUUUUCAGUGGAGAAAAAAACAAUCUAAUUUCGUCGGUAAUUAAAAAGUAUUAUGAAAUGAAA